rnacentral:rRNA from 1 species
UACGGAAGGUGCAAGCGUUGUCCGGAUUUACUGGGCGUAAAGAGCGCGCAGGCGGUCGUUCAAGUCGAGUGUGAAAGCCCCCGGCUCAACUGGGGAGGGUCACUCGAUACUGAUCGACUCGAAGGCAGGAGAGGGAAGUGGAAUUCCCGGUGUAGUGGUGAAAUGCGUAGAUAUCGGGAGGAACACCAGUGGCGAAGGCGACUUCCUGGCCUGUUCUUGACGCUGAGGCGCGAAAGCUAGGGGAGCAAACGGG